AUGGAGUUUCAUUUCAUCUAUGUUUUCCUUGUUACUGUAUUAACAGGGGUCCAGUGUGAGGUGCAGCUGGUGGAGUCUGGGGGGAGCUUGGUGAAGCCUGGGGGGUCUCUGAGACUCUCCUGUGCAGCCUCUGGAUUCACCUUCAGUAGCUACUAUAUGAACUGGGUCCGCCAGGCUCCUGGGAAGGGACUGGAAUGGAUCUCAGCAAUUGCUGGUAGUAGCACAUACUAUGCCAACUCUGUGAAGGGCCGAUUCACCAUCUCCACAGACAAUGGGAAGAACACACUCUACCUGCAGAUGAACAGCCUGAGACCUGAGGACACGGCCAUGUAUUACUGUGAGAGAGACACAGUGAGAGGAAGUCAUUGUGAGCCCAGACACAAACCUCCCUGA